GGGCCGAUGAAGUUGUAAACGAAUUGAUAUAUUCGAAUUGGUAAAAUGAGAUAAAAAUUAUAUGCAAAUUCUUGAGACAAUGCUUCUUGAUGUAUACUUGAUUAUAUAUGUAAACGGGUCAAUUUGCCCAGAUCCACACCAAAACCCAAAUACAAAACAAUAAUAAACCAAACUAAUAAAUAAUUAAGUCCAAGUCCAAAGUCCAUAACCCAUUACAGACCCAAAACCAUUACAGUGGCCCAAAACCCAAAUACUUAGAAUCCAAAACGGACCAAAAUGCUACAAACCCAGCUCGAUAACCCAACACAACAGAAACAAGCCCCAAGGGCUUGUUACUCGAACAACCAGCCAAACAGAAACCCUAAGGUUUCCACUCUAGCGCCGCAACCCUCAGCCCACAGCGCUAUACAGCCUCCUUGUGCCACGGCCACGCCUACGCCUCCACGUCAACGAGCUGUACACCACAGCUAGCCCUGUACCUCCAUGCCUACAAACAAACAAGAGAACGACAGCAAACACGAAAAAUUUUGUAUUUUUAUUCUUUCGGGUUUCAGCUAUAAAGCCAAGAGCUUUUCAAUGUAUUUUUUUUACGCAUAUUGAAUACAAAGAAAGCAGAAAAUUUUGAGAAGGUGAUUUUUGUUUAAAUUUCUUGAAGUUUUUGCAUUUCUUGGGUUCAUUUUUCUUCAAACCAUUUAUCAUUGCAUUAGAAAACAAAGAAAAAGUGAAAGAGGAGCCUUACCUUGCGAAUAGGCCACAGAUUUCUUCUUUCGCUUCGUUGAAAUCGAAGCCUAAAAGGGAUCUCAAGGCUAAAAAGCCAUCCUCCCAAGGUUCGAAUACACUGGUCACCGAUUGUAGUGACGGAUCGGCGUUUGAGCAAAAGGGGAUUAGGGUUCGGCCAAAAAUGGAAAAGGGGAGUGCUUAGUUUUUUUAUUUUUGGUUCCUAAAUGGCUAAGUGUAUU
rnacentral:lncRNA from 1 species